UGAAGUGUUGAUGAACUUAAACACCAAAAACAAACCCAAACUCCAAAAAGCCCAACAGAGUAAAUUUUUAAUAAAAUAAAAGUGAAAACAAAGCAACUUCUAGGGUUUCUCCUCCCUGCUAUUGUUGUUGUUGUAGUUGUUGUUUUCCCCUUAUUUUCCUAACAGAGCCUUCUCAAAAACGACAUUCAACAAUGGCGAAUUCAAUGGCGAAGUCUUUCCUUCAAGUUGCAGCUACUGAAGAGGUUGUUUCUCCUCUCAGAGUUGUCCAGAUCGAAGGCCUGGUGAUAUUGAAAAUAAUCAAGCACUGCAAGGAAUUUUCACCUGCUCUGGUUACCGGCCAACUUCUUGGAUUAGAUGUUGGCAGUGUUCUUGAAGUUACUAACUGUUUCCCUUUCCCGAUCCGCGAGGAAGAUGAGGAGAUUGAAGCUGAUGGAGCUAAUUAUCAGCUUGAGAUGAUGAGAUGUCUAAGGGAGGUUAAUGUUGAUAACAACACUGUUGGAUGGUACCAAUCAACGAUUUUGGGUUCAUAUCAAACAGUUGAGCUCAUUGAGACUUUUAUGAAUUAUCAGGAGAAUAUAAGGAGGUGUGUAUGCAUUAUCUACGAUCCUUCGAGGUCUAAUCAAGGUGUCUUGGCUCUUAAGGCUUUGAAGCUAUCUGAUUCUUUUAUGGAACUUUACCGAGCUAAUAGCUUUACUGGAGAAAAGCUGAGGGAGAAAAACUUGUCAUGGAUGGACAUUUUCGAGGAAAUUCCUAUCAAAGUCUCAAAUUCUGCCCUUAUCAGUGCCUUUAUGACUGAGCUGGAAUCUGACACACCAGUUACACAGUGUGAUUAUGACCGUCUGCAAUUGUCAAGCAAUCCAUAUAUGGAGAGGAAUAUGGAAUUUUUGAUUGAAUGCAUGGAUGAUUUGUCAGUGGAACAGCAGAAGUUCCAAUUUUACUACAGGAGCCUGUCACGUCAACAAGCCCAGCAACAGGCAUGGCUUCAGAAAAGAAGGGCUGAUAACAUGCAACGAAAAGCUGCCGGGGAGGAUCCUUUGCCUGAGGAGGACCCUUCAAAUCCCAUCUUCAAGCCAAUCCCUGAGCCAUCACGGUUGGAGAGCUUCCUCAUAACAAAUCAAAUCGCAAAUUACUGCAACCAAAUCAACGGGUAUGUCUGUUUUUGAUCUAACAAUUAAUUUUUAGGAUAACCUGACUGACAUAACAUCUCCUGCAGGUUGACAUUUUGAAGCCUAGUAGUGGUUAUAAUGGUUUCUGGGCAGAGCUUCAACAGAUUGUAUUUAAUGAAAUCAUUGCACGAUAACUGAAACUCGCAAUGUCGUCUGCAAUUUUUUGCAGGUAUAAAUGAUGCAUUGUCUAGAUUAGCUGAAAAUUUUUGCAAUGUCUGAGUAGAAUUAUAAUUUAUGGUUAGUUGUGAUUUUUAUUUGAAGAUGAAGGUGAUUGAAAAUUUUUCCCAUGCUGUUAAUGUUUUACAUUUAAUCUGUAAGCCUGAUCAUCUGCCCGCAUUAAAUCUUAGUAUGCCAUUUGAAUAUUAAAUGACAUUUUUCUUUGGAUUUCACUAAA